rnacentral:rRNA from 1 species
AACGAACGCUGGCGGCAUGCCUAACACAUGCAAGUCGAACGAGACCUUCGGGUCUAGUGGCGCACGUGUGCGUAACGCGUGGGAACCUGCCCUUAGGUUCGGAAUAACUCCCCGAAAGGGGUGCUAAUACCGGAUAAUGUCUUCGGACCAAAGAUCUAUCGCCUUUGGAUGGGCCCGCGUUGGAUUAGCUAGUUGGUAGGGUAAAAGCCUACCAAGGCGACGAUCCAUAGCUGGUCGGAGAGGAGGAUCAGCCACACUGGAGCUGAGACACGGCCCAGACUCCUACGGGGGGCAGCAGUAGGGAAUAUUAGGCGAGGGGCGAAAGCCUGAUACAGCAGUGCCGCGUGAGUGAUGAAGGGCUUAGGGUUGUAAAGCUCUUUUACCCGGGAUGAUAAUGACAGUACCGGGAGAAUAAGCACCGGCUAACUCCGUG